CCCUUAGAUGUCCGGGGCCGCACGCGCGCUACACUGAAGGAAUCAGCGUGGCUUUCUCCCUGACCCGAAAGGGUUGGGAAACCCGUUGAAUCUCCUUCGUGAUAGGGACUGGGGCUUGAAAUUGUUCCCCAUGAACGAGGAAUUCCCAGUAAGCGCGAGUCAUAAGCUCGCGUUGAUUACGUCCCUGCCCUUUGUACACACCGCCCGUCGCUACUACCGAUUGAACGGUUUAGUGAGGGCCUCGGAUUGGUCUCGGCCCGCUCUUUACCGGGCGGCGCCGUUGGUCGAGAAGACGCUCGAACUUGAUCGUUUAGAGGAAGUAAAAGUCGUAACA
rnacentral:rRNA from 1 species